CCGUGCCCAAGAGAUCGGGAUAACACCUGGAAACAGAUGCUAAUACCGGAUAACAACAGAUGAUGCCUAUCAACUGUUUAAAAGAUGGUUCUGCUAUCACUCUUGGAUGGACCUGCGGUGCAUUAGCUAGUUGGUAGGGUAACGGCCUACCAAGGCGAUGAUGCAUAGCCGAGUUGAGAGACUGAUCGGCCACAUUGGGACUGAGACACGGCCCAAACUCCUACGAGAGGCAGCAGCG
rnacentral:rRNA from 1 species